rnacentral:rRNA from 1 species
ACAGCAGUCGCCACGGGAAUACGUAGGGUGCAAGCGUUAAUCGGAAUUACUGGGCGUAAAGCGUGCGCAGGCGGUUAUAUAAGACAGAUGUGAAAUCCCCGGGCUCAACCUGGGAACUGCAUUUGUGACUGUAUAGCUAGAGUACGGCAGAGGGGGAUGGAAUUCCGCGUGUAGCAGUGAAAUGCGUAGAUAUGCGGAGGAACACCGAUGGCGAAGGCAAUCCCCUUGGCCUGUACUGACGCUCAUGCACGAAAGCGUGGGGAGCAAACAGGAUUAGAUACCCCCGUAGUCCCUGUCUCUUAUAC